UACGUAGGGUGCAAGCGUUGUCCGGAAUUAUUGGGCGUAAAGAGCUCGUAGGCGGUUUGUUGCGUCGGCUGUGAAAUCCCGAGGCUCAACCUCGGGUCUGCAGUCGAUACGAGCAAACUAGAGUGUUGCAGGGGAGACUGGAAUUCCUGGUGUAGCGGUGAAAUGCGCAGAUAUCAGGAGGAACACCAAUGGCGAAGGCAGCACUCUGGGACGUGACUGGACGCUGAGACGCGAAAGCGUGGGGAGCAAACAGG
rnacentral:rRNA from 1 species